rnacentral:rRNA from 1 species
UCAGCUAGUUGGCGGGGUAACGGCCCACCAAGGCAAAGACGGGUAGGGGGUGUGAGAGCAUGGCCCCCCACAAUGGGACUGGAACACGGCCCAUACUCCUACGGGAGGCAGCAGCAGGGAAUAUUGCACAAUGGACGGAAGUCUGAUGCAGCGACGCCGCGUGGAUGAAGAAGGCCCUCGGGUUGUAAAAUCCUUUACAGGGGGAAGAGGAAGGACGGUACCCCUGGAACAAGUGUCGGCUAACUACGUGCCAGCAGCCGCGGUAAGACGUAGGACACAAGCGUUAUCCGGAUUUACUGGGCGUAAAGCGUCUGCAGGCGGACAGGUAAGUUGGGCGUGAAAGCUCCGGGCCCAACCCGGAGAGGUCGUUCAAUACUGCGUGUCUAGAGGGUGUCAGAGGGGAGUGGAAUUUCCGGAGUAGCGGUAAAAUGCGCAGAGAUCGGAAAGAACACCAAUGGCGAAGGCAGCUCCCUGGGGCAACCCUGACGCUAAGAGACGGAAGCUAGGGGAGCGAACAGGAUUAGAGACCCUGGUAGUCCUAGCCCUAAACGAUGGAUGCUGGAUGUGGGGCCAUAGCGCUCCGUGUCGAAGCGAACGCGUUAAGCAUCCCGCCUGGGGACUACGGCCGCAAGGUUAAAACUCAAACGAAUUGACGGGACCCCGCACAAGCAGCGGAGCGUGUGGUUUAAUUCGAUGCUACACGAAGAACCUUACCUGGGUUUGACAUCUAGGUGGUAGUGAAGCGAAAGCGGAGCGACCCUUCGGGGAGCCUAGACAGGUGCUGCAUGGCUGUCGUCAGCUCGUGCCGUGAGGUGUCGGGUUAAGUCCCGUAACGAGCGCAACCCUUGCCCUCCGUUAUACGUGUCAGAGGGGACUGCCGGCGGUAAGCCGGAGGCCGCUGGGGAUGACGUCAAGUCAGCAUGGCCUUUAUAUCCAGGGCUACACACACGCUACAAUGGCCAGUACAAAGGGCAGCGAAGCCGCGAGGUGGAGCGAAUCCCAGCAAAGCUGGUCGUAGUUCGGAUUGCAGGCUGCAACCCGCCUGCAUGAAGCUGGAGUUGCUAGUAACCGCGCGUCAGCCAUACUCCGCUGAAUACGUUCCCNGGGGUUUGUACACACCGCCCGUCACGUCAUGGGAGUCGAUAACGCCUGAAGCCGGUGGC